UUGCACGCUGGCGGCAGGCCUCACACAUGCAAGUCGAACGGUAACAGGAAGAAGCUUGCUUCUUUGCUGACGAGUGGCGGACGGGUGAGUAAUGUCUGGGAAACUGCCUGAUGGAGGGGGAUAACUACUGGAAACGGUAGCUAAUACCGCAUAACGUCGCAAGACCAAAGAGGGGGACCUUCGGGCCUCUUGCCAUCGGAUGUGCCCAGAUGGGAUUAGCUAGUAGGUGGGGUAACGGCUCACCUAGGCGACGAUCCCUAGCUGGUCUGAGAGGAUGACCAGCCACACUGGAACUGAGACACGGUCCAGACUCCUACGGGAGGCAGCAGUGGGGAAUAUUGCACAAUGGGCGCAAGCCUGAUGCAGCCAUGCCGCGUGUAUGAAGAAGGCCUUCGGGUUGUAAAGUACUUUCAGCGGGGAGGAAGGGAGUAAAGUUAAUACCUUUGCUCAUUGACGUUACCCGCAGAAGAAGCACCGGCUAACUCCGUG
rnacentral:rRNA from 1 species